rnacentral:rRNA from 1 species
AUUGAACGCUGGCGGCAGGCCUAACACAUGCAAGUCGAACGAGUGGCGGACGGGUGAGUAAUGUCUGGGAAACUGCCUGAUGGAGGGGGAUAACUACUGGAAACGGUAGCUAAUACCGCAUACCAUCAGAUGUGCCCAGAUGGGAUUAGUGAGUAGGGGGGGUAACGGCUCACCUAGGCGACGAUCCCUAGCUGGUCUGAGAGGAUGACCAGCCACACUGGAACUGAGACACGGUCCAGACUCCUACGGGAGGCAGCAGUUGGGACUAUGGCUCAAUGGGCUCCAGCCUGAUGCAGCCAUGCCGCGUGUAUGAAGAAGGCCUUCGGGUUGUAAAGUACUUUCAGCGGGGAGGCGUUACCCGCAGAAGAAGCACCGGCUAACUCCGUGCCAGCAGCCGCGGUAAUUC